GCUGGGUGUGGUGGCGCACACCUGUAAUCCCAGCUACUUGGGAGGCUGAGUCAGGAGAAUCGCUUGAACUCAGGAGGUGGAAGCUGCAGUGAGCAGAGAUGGCACCACUGCACUCCAGCCUGGGUGACAGAGCAAGACUCUGUCUCCA
rnacentral:SRP_RNA from 1 species